GCUUUAGAUAUCAUGAGGCGCAUUUUUUUAAAUAUAAAACUCACAGUCAAAUCCAAAUCCAUGCCUGAAAUUUAUCCAACAAAUUUACUAUCAUUCCUUGGCCUAAAAAGAGGCCCUUAAUCUAACAAUAAGCCAGUAAGAUUCAAGAAAUUCAAGGUGCAACAGAAUUACUUGGCUUCCCAAGGAAAAUACAACAUAAUUCUACCAAGAAUCCAUACAUAAACAAUGAUAUCAUACUCUUUUUUUCUAUGCAAUGUUUCACAGGCAUUUGUAUUGAAACUUGCACAUGAAUAAAUGUUCUCCAUCAUACCUUGGUGUAAAUAAUGGCACACCACCAAAUAACAAUCAAUAUCCUUAUAUAUUAAUAGCCCUCUAUAAUCUGCUUAUAAUUUGCUCAGACUGUAGCAAAAUCCAUUUUCCUUAACAAUCAAUUUAUACCGUAAAUAUAUAUGGAAAACCCUCUCAUUUUAAAUGGAUUUCUACCUCAUUAAACUCUUCUUAAUGAGUCUGGGGAUACAGCUUUCAAGUAAAUGAACAGAAGGUACUUUAAAUAAAAUUAGCCGAGUUUGAAUAAAAACAUAUCGUACAGCUAACAAAAAAUGAGCUACUUCAUACACUAACUACCUAGUGCAAUUUCCUGUUCUUCCAGGAAGGUUUGCUUUGGGAAGAACAACCUCGUUGAACACACAUCAAGAAUCUUCUGUUAAAAUGACAGGCAGAUAUCGAAUAUAUCCCUAUGUGUAACAUUGAUUAUUCAGAAGUGCAUAUUGGCCCUUGCUGUUCAAUACGGAUCUUUGGUAAUCUUACUCUAUGAUAGAUUCCAGGUACUAAAAUUCAGCUUCUUACUCACACUGCUAUGUAUGAACCUUUUUAUUUAAAAAAAUACAAUAUUUUUAAACACAGUUGUAAAAAUGAAAUCUGCAGUCAUAAAAUUAAUUUGGAAAGAGAUACUGAAUUCCACAUCAUUCUAUCCUGACUUGAAGGCAGUAUUGUUCAAAACUUGUCUCUGUCAGAAUUCACGUAUGGGAGAAAGACACAACUCUUCCAGUUUUGGAGCUGUUCAAGGAGUAUCAGGGUACAUAGCCAAAAACCUGGAAGAUAAUAAAAGAACCACUUGCAAUAUUUUAACCUUUCCCAUUAGCAGUGGGAGCUCAUUUCAAAACUAUGAACUUCUUUUUCCCAGAUGAUUAGGAUCACUAGAUAUCCAGGUCCCUUUAAACUGCUUUCUGUUCCCUCUGCUCCAAUGCAGUAUCAUUGAAGAGAAAUACUCCAGUUUGAUAGACUGAUCUCAGCCACCUGAAACACAAACAAGUAACGAACAGAAGAAAUAACAAACAAUAUUCAGAUUUUCUUUUCCAUUUAUAAACUAUACAGCAUGCUGCUCUUAUCACAAGCAUGUAACAUUUCCCCAGCAGAAGACAAGGCGAUGUCUCAUUUCUCCUCAAAAUACGAAACCGAAGCCCGCUUCCUACUAGCUAUUGGGGCAUCGCUAAGUAGAGCUGUAGAAAUGCUUCAGUUCUGUUCCAAAGCUUGUAUUCAGCCUCCUCCAUAGAGAGGGCGGAUCAUAAGCCCCCGUUUAAUCAUCCGCACAAGGUCCCGCUCACGCUCCCCGCCGCCGGUGACCCGCGGCCUCCAGCCGGUGCCGGUGCCGGUGCCGGAAAGGCGUGACGCGGCCCCGCCCUCGGCGCUGCAGGCUCGCCAUGGCGGCGGCGCGGCCGGCGCGGGCCCGGGCCCUGCUGCAGCAGAGCAUCUCCGCCCGCCUGCAGGUGCGGCCGCCCGAGAGCGGCUCCGAGGCGCAGUGGGUGGAGGUAACGUGGGCCGCGGGCCGCCCUUGGCAUCGCCCCUUCUCCCCGCGGGACGGAGCGGGGCCGACCGGGGCGGCCAGCGGGAAAGCGCUCCGUGCCCUGCGCGCGUGCGCCGGCGGGAGAGGGUGGCGUUCGGACAUUCGAGGGGAGCAGCCUCUGCUCCUUUUGCGGGCCGGGCUGCCCUUAGGGCCGAUUCCAGCCUCGUCUCGAUUCUGCUGCAGAGCACUCUCCUCGCCUCCUGGUUAUCAGCAAAGGUUGCGGUCAGCCCCUUCGCCCAAGGGACGAGCAGCAGGAGGCGCACAGCGCUUUCUCUCUGCUGCUCCCUCUCUCUCCCUGUGCUCCGGAGUCCUCCGCAGGCAGAAGUCUCUUCAGGAUCAUGACUACUCCACGACCACACGCUUCCCUUCCAACUGUGUUGUUCGUUCUUUUCUUAAACACACUCACAGAAACACUACAGCCUUGGCUGGUGGGCUCUGCCGUCGGCUUUGUUUGUCGUGAGAUAGUGUUAACUUGGAGAAGAAAGGCCAGAUCCAGAGAGGGCUCGUUAUCUACAUAUGCUUCUUCAAAGGUGCUGAUGAGGAUCUUGUCCCAAAAAUUGUUGAUACACUGUUGAAUGUUAAAUUAAGUGAAAAUGAAAAGGGCGAGUUUGUCUCUGUUCUUGAUUUACCAG